rnacentral:rRNA from 2 species
GCCGAAUUAAGGUGAAACCGCGAAAGGCUCAUUAAAUCAGUUAUGGUUCCUUAGAUCGUACCCACAUUUACUUGGAUAACUGUGGUAAUUCUAGAGCUAAUACAUGCAAACAGAGCUCCGACCGGAGACGGAAGGAGUGCUUUUAUUAGAUCAAAACCAAUCGGCGUCGGAUCGCGUUCGCGCGCGGUUCGCUCGUCGCAUUCACUGGUGACUCUGAAUAACUUUAGGCUGAUCGCACGGUCUAGCACCGGCGACGCAUCUUUCAAAUGUCUGCCUUAUCAACUGUCGAUGGUAGGUUCUGCGCCUACCAUGGUCGUAACGGGUAACGGGGAAUCAGGGUUCGAUUCCGGAGAGGGAGCCUGAGAAACGGCUACCACAUCCAAGGAAGGCAGCAGGCGCGCAAAUUACCCACUCCCGGCACGGGGAGGUAGUGACGAAAAAUAACGGUACGGGACUCAUCCGAGGCCCCGUAAUCGGAAUGAGUACACUUUAAAUCCUUUAACGAGUAUCCAUUGGAGGGCAAGUCUGGUGCCAGCAGCCGCGGUAAUUCCAGCUCCAAUAGCGUAUAUUAAAGUUGUUGCGGUUAAAAAGCUCGUAGUUGAAUCUGUGUCCCGCGCUGUCGGUUCGCCGCCCGCGGUGUUUAACUGACAGAUCCGCGGGACGUCCUGCCGGUGGGCCAGCGUUCGUCGCGCGCGCGCGUCCGGACGGAAACGUUCGCGUCGUCGUCGCGCGUGUGCGGGGCGGCCCGACUCACAAUCCCGCUUCGGUGCUCUUGACUGAGUGUCGAGGUGGGCCGGCACGUUUACUUUGAACAAAUUAGAGUGCUCAAAGCAGGCCGAAAUAACGCCUGAAUACUGUGUGCAUGGAAUAAUGGAACAGGACCUCGGUUCUAUUUUGUUGGUUUUCGGAAUUCCGAGGUAAUGAUUAAUAGGGACAGAUGGGGGCAUUCGUAUUGCGACGUUAGAGGUGAAAUUCUUGGAUCGUCGCAAGACGGACAGAAGCGAAAGCAUUUGCCAAUAAUGUUUUCAUUAAUCAAGAACGAAAGUCAGAGGUUCGAAGGCGAUCAGAUACCGCCCUAGUUCUGACCAUAAACGAUGCCAGCUAGCGAUCCGCUGACGUUCCUCCGAUGACUCGGCGGGCAGCUUCCGGGAAACCAAAGCUUUUGGGUUCCGGGAGAAGUAUGGUUGCAAAGCUGAAACUUAAAGGAAUUGACAGAGGGGCACCACCAAAAGUGGAGCCUGCGUUUUAUUUUGACUCAACACGCAAAAAUUCCCCGGGUCCAGACACCGGAGAGAUUGACAGAUUGAGAGCUCUUUCUUGAUUCGGUGGGKGGKGGUGCRUGGCCGUUUUUAUUUGGKGGAUCGAUUUGUCUGCUUAAUUGAGAUAACAAAAGACACUCUACCCUGCUAACUAGG